rnacentral:lncRNA from 1 species
AUGCUGAGAAAGGCUAAUAAAUCAAGGCUUUCAUACAAUUCUGUGAAUGCUGAGAGACAAGAAGAGAGUGGGUGCCAGGAUGAAAUGAGGAAGCACUCCUGCCAGCUUCUACCAAAAACUAGGUGCUUAGACCAUGUUAUCCAAAACCAGUUCUUUGAAGGCACUAAAUGCUGAAUAAAUAUCACUAAAAUGUGUGUUU